CACGUUUUAGGAAUAGUGGAUUUGCGUUGGCUUUCUGUUGGCCCAACAAAACCCAACAACACUAGUUCCAGGCUAUUUGCCUAUCGCGCGAAAAUAUGCAAAGUGAUCAUUAAUUAAUUGACUUUUCAUGUGUUUGUCUAAUAUUUUCCAAAGCAAGAAUAUAUAGAGAAGAAAUGUUAUUAAUAUGGAAAAUUCAAGAAAAGAAAACUGUUUGAUGGUCUAGACAUUGUCAAUAAUCUACAAUUGAGAGUGACUGAGUCCUGAGGUGAGUUGUGAUAUUCGAGGUGAUGAUAUUCGUUCUGCAUGAGCAUAUAGGCAUGAAUAUUUAUAAAGUCAUGUUACACGCAAAUAUUCAUACAUAAACAUGUUGUCAACCAGAGCACCACUUUCCACGAUAUCGGAUAAUUUAAUGUCUUUAAUUCAUCAUUCAAACUUAAAACGAAACUGUAAGCCAUAACUUAAACCUAGAAAAUAUAUAAUUUGUUAUAUCGAAGUAUAAAUGUCCAUGGAUGUUUUCGCU